AUCGUUGUAGCGAAAUAUUUUUUUUUUUUUUGAUGAAAAGGUUUUUCUUCGUUUAGGGAAUAUUUUUUGAUGAGCUCUUCCGAUGACCACUGCCAACUAUGAAAAAGGCAUUGACAAAAGGUUUUUUAUUUAAUAAGAAAGCUGAGAUGCGUGUGAGAAACAUGAAAAAUAAAUCCAAAAAUAUCAAAUGAGUUUAUUUUUAAUUAUAAACUUUUACGACUUUCUUUGUUUUUUUUUUUUUUAUACUGUGAAUUAAGUUUUGUAAAAUAUAUUAAUAUUUUAGAAUCUAUAUAUAUAACUAUGAAACUUCAGCACAGAGUUCAUCAAAAAAAAGAGAGAAAGAUUUUAAAAAGGAGAGUUUGAUGUCAAUGGGUUUAAAGAGAGAGUCCAUAUUUUUUAGUGUUAUGCUUCUUCUUCUUCUUCUUUCGUGUAUGGCAACAGGGAGACUCAUCUAUUCUACUUCCCUUCAUGGAGAUUUUGAAACGAUGAAUAUGGAUGGGAAGAAUAGGGAUGGGAGUCGUCUUCUGAGUACGGCUCUGCCUCGAGGUGGCAACUAUAUUAACAACCCGCAUGCGGCAGAGAAGGCUGCGGUUCGACGCUCCGGCUACCAACCAUGAUGGCUAUGGAAACUGUGUAUGAGAAAGAGCAGUACUUAACGGUGAUCAUAUAUAUAUAUAUAUAUAUAUAUACACUUGUGGCUAAAGUAUCAUGAAUAAAAACAAGGGUUUUAAGCCAACAA